rnacentral:rRNA from 1 species
GACAGAGGGUGCAAACGUUGUUCGGAAUUACUGGGCGUAAAGCGCGUGUAGGCGGCCAUCUAAGUCGGGCGUGAAAUCCCACGGCUCAACCGUGGAAGUGCACUCGAAACUGGAUGGCUAGAGUCCUGGAGAGGAAGGUGGAAUGCUUGGUGUAGAGGUGAAAUUCGUAGAUAUCAAGCGGAACACCGGUGGCGAAGGCGGCCUUCUGGACAGUGACUGGACGUUGAGACGCGAAAGCGUGGGGAGCAAACAGGG